rnacentral:lncRNA from 1 species
GUCUCUGCAAGGCCUGGACUAGACGCAGACGGCGUAGUCAACCGGUAAUUGUGGACCACUGAAUAAACGAAGAGCAGAGUGGCUGCAGAGCAGGAACUUGUGAAUAUGUUACCUCACCAAAGGGACUUUGCAGAUGUGAUUAAAUUAAGGAUCUUGAGAUUGGAAGAUUAUCUGAGACUCUCUGGACAGAGCCAAUGUCACUACAAAGAGAGAGACAAGAAGGUCAAAGGAGAUGCGGUGCCAGAAGGAGAGGUUAGAAUGAUGCAGGAAGGGGCCACGUGGCGGGAAAUGUGAGCAGCCUCUGGAAGCUGGAAGAGUCUAGGAGACUGCCCAGAGCUUCCAGAAGGAACACAUCUCUGCCAGUAACUUGACUUCAGCCCACAAGACCCAUUUCGGACUUGUAACCUCCAGAAUUGCAAGGUAGUAAAUCUGUGUUGUCUCUAGUCACUAAGUUUGUGAUAGUUUCUUACAGCAUCAGCAGGAAACUGUACACAUGUGCAUAUACUCCGUCCUGUUACGCUCAUUAAACCAGCUCACUUUCUGUACGUACGUACAUGUCUUCUAAAGAAGACUUGCACUGUGAGUUUGGUGCCCUUGUGGUGCCCCGACCCCCACCCUGACACACAACACGUGUUAUUAAGGUGAACACAUUGCUAAUGAAAUGUAAAGGUUUACAUUUCACCACCUAAAAUGAAAUGGGAGGAGCAUACUUUGGGAAACUGUGGCCCAGAAGAUGUCCUGUCACACCUGUCAGAACUCAGACCUGUGGGCAGGAUAAGGAUGGGUUUCCUCACGUUCUUUUCAGCUGGGAGUGCGAAAGAGCUGGAAGUGAUCGCUACCAAUGACAGAAUGUGCUGAAUCUGCUGGUUUAAUUAGGCUGUUCAAAGCUGGAGAGGAGACUUUGCCGGGUCUCAGUCUGCUGACUAUAUGGAGGACUUCCUGUUUAAAAAGCAUAAAUUUUUGCCUUCAUCGUGAAAUUGACCUAGGCUGCAAUGUGCUUUGCUCUAAGCGGCUCCCUUGAAGAGGGAAUGGCUCACAGUUGUCCUUAAAGGAGACUCACAGGGGAGAGGAAUGGAGAGGAGGAGGCCAUGUGAAGACAGAGGCAGAGGAUGGAGUCAGCUGCAGCAAGCCAAGGAACACCAACAGCCAUCAGUAGCUAGAAGAGGCAAGGAAUGUAACCUCCCUUAGAGCCUCUUGGGGGAGCACAGCCCAGCUGACCCCUUAAUUUUGAACUUCUGGCCUCCAGUACCGUGAGAGAACAAAUGUCUGCUGUUUUAAGCCACCCUGGUUUGUGGUAAUUUGUUAUGACAGCCUUGGCACACGAGUAUGGUUCCCAAGUUGCUCGUAAAUUGGUACAACCAUUAUGGAAAACGGUAUGGAGUUUCCUCAGAAAACUGAAUUCAGAACUUCCAUUUGAUCCAGCAAUCCCACUCCUGGGCAUAUAUCCCAACAAAACUACAAUUCAAAAUGCAUACAGUUCACCUGUAUGUUCAUAGUAGCACUAUACACAAUAACCAAGACAUGGAAACAACCUAAAUGUCCAUAAACAGACAAAUGGAUUAAGAAGAUGUGGUAAAUAUACACAAUGGAAUACUACUCAGCCAUAAAAAGAACAAAUAAUGCCAUUUGCAGCAACAUGGACACAACUAGACAUUCUCAUACUAAGUGAAAUAAGUCAGAAAGAGAAGGACAAAUACCAUAUGGCACCACUUAUAUGUGGAAUCUAAAAUAUGGCAUAAAUGAAUCUAUCUACAGAACAGAAACACACUCACAGACAUAGAGUAGAGACUUGUUGCCAAGGGGGAGGGAGUGGGAUGGACUGGGAGUUUGGGGUUAAUAGGUGCAAACUCUUACAUUUAGAAUGGAUAAGCAAUGAGGUCCUACUGUACAGCCCAGGAAACUUUAUCCAGUCUCUUGGGAUGGACCGCAAUGGAAGAUAAUAUAGUAAGUGGAAUAUAUAGAGAGAUGACUGGGUCACUAUGCUGUACAGCAGAAAUUGGUAUGAUUGUAAAUCAACUAUACUUGAAUUAAUUUUUUUUUAAAUACAGUUCCCAGGUCGGGUUGUCUGUCAGCAUUACCUGGGUGGGGUCUUGAAUGGUGACCAUCACAGUCAGUGGAGAGGAACAGUGGGGGUGGGGGUGGAGUCUUUACAGCUGCAAUGAGAGCCUCAGAGCAGCAGCACUGACACUACCCCAGGGGUGUCUUUAAAAUGUGUUAGAAAUGGAGAAUCUGAGGCCCCAGACCCACUGAAUCAGAAAGUUAUUUUAACAAGAUCUCUGUGUGAUUCACAUACAGUUUAAAGCAUGAACCCUGCCCUAGACAAUUUCAAUCAGCAAACUGGGCAGGUGCUAAGGUUGAUCCCACGCUUGUGGUACCAAGAGGUAUAAAGUGUUCCUUCCUCUGUGUCUUGCCAGAGUCUAGAAGAUAAUAAAUAAUAAUGUUAGCAGAAAUACAGAUUCUAUGAUACUUCAAAACAUAAAGACACCCAAGUUCUAACUUAGAGGGUAAAGGCCCUGCCAGCUCCUUAACGCAACACUCUGACAACAAAGGCAAAUAAGGUACCAAAUGAGCUGUCUGAGGCCAGCAAAGAAAGGCAGGGGUUGCUAACACAUUUAUUUCAACUUAGUAUCAUCACUCGGCAAAAAGAGUGUGUUUAUUAAAAUGUUUACCUUAAAAGGGGUUUCAUCUGACAACUGAAAGCAACAAAGGUAUGCAAACUUGCUAUUGGAAACCUGAAUGUAAGAAAUUCUCAAUAGGGACAGGAUUAAAAUGGCAGAGUAGAAAGACCUUCUCUCAUAAAAGAAACAAAAUUAUAACCAACUACUGAGUAACCUUCAACAAAAUAGACUGGAAACUAUAAAAAAAGAUAUCCUACUGUGGAAGACAAAGAGGAGGCCACUACAAGAUAGUAGGAAGGGCAAUUACGUGAUAUAAGCAACCUCAUACCCACCAUGGGGGCGGCCCACAGACUGGAAAGUAACAAAAUCACAGAGGCUCACCCAUAGGAGUGAGAGUUCUGAGCCCUAUGUCAAGUUCCCAUUCCUGGGGAUCUGGCAUUGGGAGGAGGAGACCCCAGAGCAUGUGGCUUGUGCACAAGAGCUCCAUGGGACUGGGGGACAUGGAGACUACAUUCUUGAAAGGUACACACAGGCUUUCAUGUGCACUGGGUCCCAGUGCAAGGCAGAGAAUCUGGGUCAGACUUGCCAAGGAGCUCUUGGAUCUCCUGGGAAAGUUGGGGUGACUGUGGAUCAUUGUUGGGGAAGGACAUUGGAGGCAAAGUUCUCGGGAAUAAUCAUUAGUAUGUAUUCCUCUAUAGGUGGCCAUUUUGGAAAAAAUCUGGCCCCACCCAUCAGGAGUGAGCAGCCCUAGACCGAACAAUAAUCUGGGUGGGAUCACAGACCCACCCAUUAGCACACAGUCUUCCUAAAGUCCCCCCAAGCACAUAGCUGCCUCUAAUCACACCCAGAGAGAAAGCCUCACCCACCAGAGGGGUAAGAAGCAGCUCCAACUACCACUGAGCAGGGACAAGUCCCUCCCAUCAGGAAGGCUACUGCAAACCCCAUACCAACUUCAGCCACAAGGGGGGCAGACAUCAGAAGCAAGAGAGGAUAUAACCCUAUAUUCUGCAAAAAGGUGACCACAAAAUGAAAAAGCAGAAAAUUAUGACUCAGAUAAGGGAACAAGAGAAAAAAACAGAAAAACAGCUAAGUGAUCUGGAGAUUACCAACCUCCAUGAAAAAUACUUUAGACUGAUGAUAGUAAAGAUGAUUCAAGAUGUUGGAAAUAAACUGGAGGCAAAGACUAAUAAAUUACAAAUAACACUGAGCAAAGAAAUAGAAUAUUUAAGGAUUAAGCAAGCAGAGAUGAAAAAUAAAAUAACUGAAAUGAAAA